GUUGUAUGGUUAAGUGACUAAGCGUACACGGUGGAUGCCUGGGCAGUCAGAGGCGAUGAAGGACGUACUAACUUGCGAUAAGCGCAGAUAAGGCAGUAAGAGCCGUUUGAGUCUGCGAUUUCCGAAUGGGGAAACCCAACUGCAUAAGCAGUUACUGUUAACUGAAUACAUAGGUUAACAGAGCAAACCGGGGGAACUGAAACAUCUAAGUACCCCGAGGAGAAGAAAUCAACCGAGAUUCCGGUAGUAGCGGCGAGCGAACCUGGAUUAGCCCUUAAGCACUCGGUGAAGUAGGUGAACAAGCUGGAAAGCUUGGCGAUACAGGGUGAUAGCCCCGUAACCGACGCUUCAUCGAGCGUGAAAUCGAGUAGGGCGGGACACGUGAUAUCCUGUCUGAAUAUGGGGGGACCAUCCUCCAAGGCUAAAUACUCCUGACUGACCGAUAGUGAACCAGUACCGUGAGGGAAAGGCGAAAAGAACCCCUGUGAGGGGAGUGAAAUAGAACCUGAAACCGUGUACGUACAAGCAGUAGGAGCACCUUCGUGGUGUGACUGCGUACCUUUUGUAUAAUGGGUCAGCGACUUAUAUUCAGUGGCAAGGUUAACCGUAUAGGGGAGCCGUAGCGAAAGCGAGUCUUAACUGGGCGCUCAGUCUCUGGAUAUAGACCCGAAACCGGGUGAUCUAGCCAUGGGCAGGUUGAAGGUUGAGUAACAUCAACUGGAGGACCGAACCGACUAAUGUUGAAAAAUUAGCGGAUGACUUGUGGCUAGGGGUGAAAGGCCAAUCAAACUCGGAGAUAGCUGGUUCUCCCCGAAAGCUAUUUAGGUAGCGCCUCGGACGAAUACUACUGGGGGUAGAGCACUGUUAAGGCUAGGGGGUCAUCCCGACUUACCAACCCUUUGCAAACUCCGAAUACCAGUAAGUACUAUCCGGGAGACACACGGCGGGUGCUAACGUCCGUCGUGGAGAGGGAAACAACCCAGACCGCCAGCUAAGGUCCCAAAGUAUUGCUAAGUGGGAAACGAUGUGGGAAGGCUCAGACAGCUAGGAUGUUGGCUUAGAAGCAGCCAUCAUUUAAAGAAAGCGUAAUAGCUCACUAGUCGAGUCGGCCUGCGCGGAAGAUGUAACGGGGCUAAGCAAUACACCGAAGCUGCGGCAAUGUCUUUUAGACAUUGGGUAGGGGAGCGUUCUGUAAGCCGUUGAAGGUGAAUCGUAAGGUUUGCUGGAGGUAUCAGAAGUGCGAAUGCUGACAUGAGUAACGACAAAGGGGGUGAAAAACCUCCUCGCCGGAAGACCAAGGGUUCCUGUCCAACGUUAAUCGGGGCAGGGUGAGUCGACCCCUAAGGUGAGGCCGAAAGGCGUAAUCGAUGGGAAACGGGUUAAUAUUCCCGUACUUCUGACUAUUGCGAUGGGGGACGGAGAAGGCUAGGUGGGCCAGGCGACGGUUGUCCUGGUUCAAGUGCGUAGGCUUGAGAGUUAGGUAAAUCCGGCUCUCUCUAAGGCUGAGACACGACGUCGAGCUACUACGGUAGUGAAGUCAUUGAUGCCAUGCUUCCAGGAAAAGCCUCUAAGCUUCAGAUAGUCAGGAAUCGUACCCCAAACCGACACAGGUGGUCGGGUAGAGAAUACCAAGGCGCUUGAGAGAACUCGGGUGAAGGAACUAGGCAAAAUGGUACCGUAACUUCGGGAGAAGGUACGCUCUUGAUGGUGAAGUCCCUCGCGGAUGGAGCUGACGAGAGUCGCAGAUACCAGGUGGCUGCAACUGUUUAUUAAAAACACAGCACUGUGCAAAAUCGCAAGAUGACGUAUACGGUGUGACGCCUGCCCGGUGCCGGAAGGUUAAUUGAUGGGGUUAGCGCAAGCGAAGCUCUUGAUCGAAGCCCCGGUAAACGGCGGCCGUAACUAUAACGGUCCUAAGGUAGCGAAAUUCCUUGUCGGGUAAGUUCCGACCUGCACGAAUGGCGUAAUGAUGGCCACGCUGUCUCCACCCGAGACUCAGUGAAAUUGAAAUCGCUGUGAAGAUGCAGUGUACCCGCGGCUAGACGGAAAGACCCCGUGAACCUUUACUACAGCUUGGCACUGAACAUUGAACCUACAUGUGUAGGAUAGGUGGGAGGCUAUGAAGACGUGACGCCAGUUGCGUUGGAGCCGUCCUUGAAAUACCACCCUUGUAUGUUUGAUGUUCUAACUUAGACCCGUUAUCCGGGUUGAGGACAGUGCCUGGUGGGUAGUUUGACUGGGGCGGUCUCCUCCCAAAGAGUAACGGAGGAGCACAAAGGUGGGCUAAUCACGGUUGGACAUCGUGAGGUUAGUGCAAUGGCAUAAGCCCGCUUAACUGCGAGAAUGACGGUUCGAGCAGGUGCGAAAGCAGGUCAUAGUGAUCCGGUGGUUCUGUAUGGAAGGGCCAUCGCUCAACGGAUAAAAGGUACUCCGGGGAUAACAGGCUGAUACCGCCCAAGAGUUCAUAUCGACGGCGGUGUUUGGCACCUCGAUGUCGGCUCAUCACAUCCUGGGGCUGAAGUCGGUCCCAAGGGUAUGGCUGUUCGCCAUUUAAAGUGGUACGCGAGCUGGGUUUAGAACGUCGUGAGACAGUUCGGUCCCUAUCUGCCGUGGGCGUUGGAAGAUUGAAGGGGGCUGCUCCUAGUACGAGAGGACCGGAGUGGACGAACCUCUGGUGUUCGGGUUGUGUCGCCAGACGCAUUGCCCGGUAGCUAAGUUCGGAAUUGAUAAGCGCUGAAAGCAUCUAAGCGCGAAGCGAGCCCUGAGAUGAGUCUUCCCUGACAGUUUAACUGUCCUAAAGGGUUGUUCGAGACUAGAACGUUGAUAGGCAGGGUGUGUAAGCGUUGUGAGGCGUUGAGCUAACCUGUACUAAUUGCCCGUGAGGCUUAACCAUACAACACCCAAGGGGUUUUGUA
rnacentral:rRNA from 1 species